rnacentral:lncRNA from 1 species
GCAGGUAUAGUAAAAUAUUUAUUUUUAAAAAAAAUUUAAAAAUUUUAGUAUGAAAUUUUAAAAUAUAAAUAAAAAAUAUUUUCAUUUAAAUUAGUAUUUUAAUUAAAAUAUUAAAAAAUUAUAAAAAUAAUUAUACUAAAGUAAAUAUUUGAUUUUUAAAAAAAAUAAAUAAAUUUAUAUUAUUUUUUUGAAAAAAAAUAAAAUGAGAU